rnacentral:rRNA from 1 species
UACAGAGGAGCCAAGCGUUGUCCGGAUUGACUGGGCGUAAAGCGCACGCAGGCGGACGCGCGCGUGGGGUGUGAAAUCUGGCCGCUUAACGGCCAGGCGCCAUCCCAUACGGCGCGUCUGGAGUGAUGCAGAGGUCGGUGGAAUUGCCGGUGUAGUGGUGAAAUGCGUAGAGAUCGGCAGGAACACCCAGGGGGAAACCAGUCGACUGGGCAUCUACUGACGCUGAGGUGCGAGAGCGUGGGGAGCGAACCGG